UAAUUAAAACUUUCUUUUUGGUCCUUAGGUAGAAAGAUGGCUCUGCUGAGAUGAGCUCUUAAUUAAUGCACUGAGAGCCUGCGAGUCCCACCUCUCAACAGGAAUGAUUGACGUCCAAGGAUACAUAAAUUACACUAAUUGAGCUCUGCCUCUAUAUAGGCUUUCCACAGCCAACUCAUCAGAGAAGCUAGGCUUGUACCACAACCAGUAUCUCUGCUUGGCAACCCUAAUGAGCAAACUGCCACAAAACUGAGAGAUAACACACCUUUUUGAUUUUCUGCUCUUCUAAGACAAACUGAUUUAGAAUUUCUGUGCAAGCAAGAGAACUAAAGAAGAAAAGAGGAAAAGAAGGUAAGUCCCAGGAACUAAAAUAGCUCCAG
rnacentral:lncRNA from 13 species